rnacentral:rRNA from 1 species
UGCCCAGACUCCUACGGGAGGCAGCAGUGGGGGAUAUUGCACAAUGGGGGGAACCCUGAUGCAGCGACGCCGCGUGGGUGAAGGAGCGUUUCGGCGCGUAAAGCCCUAUCGGCAGGGAAGAAGGAGGACGGUACCUGACUAAGAAGCCCCGGCUAACUACGUGCCAGCAGCCGCGGUAAUACGUAGGGGGCAAGCGUUAUCCGGAUUUACUGGGUGUAAAGGGAGCGUAGACGGUAUGGCAAGUCUGAUGUGAAAACCCGGGGCUCAACCCCGGGACUGCAUUGGAAACUGUCGGACUAGAGUGUCGGAGAGGCAAGUGGAAUUCCUAGUGUAGCGGUGAAAUGCGUAGAUAUUAGGAGGAACACCAGUGGCGAAGGCGGCUUGCUGGACGAUGACUGACGUUGAGGCUCGAAAGCGUGGGGAGCAAACAGGAUUAGAUACCCUCGUAAA